rnacentral:rRNA from 1 species
GGUAGGGGAGUCUUCGGACCUAUCACCUGGAGAUGAGCCCGCGUGCCAUUAGGUAGGUUGGCGGGGUAAUGGCCCACCAAGCCGAAGAUGGCUAGCUGGUCUGAGAGGAUGAUCAGCCACACUGGAACUGAGACACGGUCCAGACUCCUACGGGAGGCAGCAGUGGGGAAUAUUGCGCAAUGGGGAAACCCUGACGCAGCAACGCCGCGUGUGUGAUGAAGGCCUUCGGGUCGUAAAGCACUGUGAGGUGGAACGAGCCGCCGGGGGCUAAUACCCUUCGGCCCGACGGUACCACCAGAGGAAGCACCGGCUAACCCUGUGCCAGCAGCCGCGGUAAUACAGGGGGUGCAAGCGUUGUUCGGAAUUAUUGGGCGUAAAGCGCGUGUAGGCGGACCAUUAAGUCUGGUGUGAAAUCCCUCGGCUUAACCGAGGACGUGCAUUGGAUACUGGUGGUCUUGAGUCCUGGAGAGGGUAGCGGAAUUCCCCAGUGUAGAGGUGAAAUUCGUAGAUAUUGGGAGGAA